AUACGAAAGGUGCAAGCGUUGUUCGGAUUUACUGGGCGUAAAGAGAUCGUAGGUGGUUUGUUAAGUUGGAUGUGAAAUCCCGGGGCUCAACCUCGGAACUGCAUCCAAAACUGGCAGACUUGAGUUCGGGAGGGGUAAGCGGAAUUCCGUGUGUAGCAGUGAAAUGCGUAGAUAUACGGAGGAACACCUGAGGCGAAGGCGGCUUACUGGACCGAUACUGACACUGAGACUCGAAGGCGUGGGUAGCAAACAGGAUUAGAAACCCUAGUAGUCC
rnacentral:rRNA from 1 species